rnacentral:tRNA from 1 species
GCGCCCGUAGCUCAGUCUGGAUAGAGCAUCGGUUUCCGGGGCCGAUAGUCGCUGGUUCAAAUCCAGCCGGGCGCA